rnacentral:rRNA from 1 species
UGCCAGCCGCCGCGGUAAUACGGAGGGGGUUAGCGUUGUUCGGAAUUACUGGGCGUAAAGCGCGCGUAGGCGGGCUGGUCAGUUGGGGGUGAAAUCCCGAGGCUCAACCUCGGAACUGCCCUCAAUACUACCAGUCUAGAGUUCGGGAGAGGUGAGUGGAAUUCCUAGUGUAGAGGUGAAAUUCGUAGAUAUUAGGAAGAACACCAGUGGCGAAGGCGGCUCACUGGCUCGAUACUGACGCUGAGGUGCGAAAGUGUGGGGAGCAAACAGGAUUAGAUA